rnacentral:lncRNA from 1 species
GGGAAACUAACGAAGGCGCUUGGCCCCAGGCGCAUCCCAGCCCCCACGUGAGACCCUAAACCGACCAUAACCGAACCCCUGGCCCAGAAAGGGCUUCUCUCGCCGCACGGGUGGGGCAGCACCCCUGCAUCCCUUCCAUCGGUGUCGCUGCCGACCUCAGACUGCGGGGAGAAAGGAGAACCGCGGGGGCCGAGAGGGCGGUGUCCUUGGGUGGUCCCGAGGUCCCCAAGGGCCUCCCGAGAGUGGGCGAGGGGAGGGCGGGCAAAGAAAGGGGCGCCGAGUCAGCAGAAUCUCCCAGUGAGGCCGGGCUCAGAAUCAAAGGGACUGCAGGGAGCGGGAGGGACUAGGGCGAGGACAUAAUUUGGGAAGCACCAUUUAGCCCAUGACACCCAUCUCCAAAGGCGAGAAUACUGCGAAGUUCAUAGUUCACUCCUGAAAAUGCUUGUUGACCGCUGUGGAGCUCCCAAGAUGUUUUGGAGCUGAGCUCACUUGGAACAGCCCAUCAUCCAUCCACUCUUGGAGAUGGGACUUAUUGCCAGCCUGUGGCAAUCUGACAUAUCCUGGGAUGUCAAGAAACUCCUGGAUCCUCUGGAUGUGGAAGAUGCCAUUGCCAAUUUAGAAGCUUUUCUACCCUAAAGCAUGGACCUCUUCUUCGUCCAUUUAUCAUUGGGUUCCUUGGGGCUUCUGUGGUUCAGCCUUUUGCAGAGGGCCUGUGAGAUGGCCUCUGAGGAAAGAGUGCAGUGACCAAGGACACAUGAACAACACUGGUGACCAUAUUCCCCUCCUGUGGCUCCUUAACACAAUUUAAUCAAUUAAAGGCACUCAAAUCCUGUAAUAGAGAAGCCCAGUAUUUCUCAAUUUGCCCGCAACUCUCCAACCCAGAAAGCAUACUUGGCUUUGGAAGGGAGACCUACUGAAAAGGAAUUGUAUAGGCAUGUGUUUGCACUAUGUCCUCUGUGUGGGCAGAGUAAGGGAAUGUCAGAUUAUGCCUCCUUUCUGACUCUAUUUGCAAUCUCAGAGCUUGUGCCAACCGCUUCUGGUCUCUGUUAGGUACCCGCUCACCGGCUGUUGCUUCCCCAGGAUUCAACCGUGUUUGCUCAGGACUUAGUGAUUUGCUUGAUGUGGCAGCAGAGAGCACAGUGUCCUCAGUUGUGCCAGGUGCUCUGAGGCCCUCCCCGCAUUCUGCUCUUUUACAAUAGUUGAGGACACAUGAGUGAGCUUUUGUGUACAUGGUACUAAAUAAAGCAUCUCCUUUAUCUGCUUCA